rnacentral:rRNA from 1 species
GGUAGCAUAAUCAUUUGUCUUUUAAUUGAAGGCUAGUAUGAAUGGUUGGACGAAAAAUAUACUUUCUUUAUUUUAUAUAAAUNAAUUAAUUUUUUAGUUAAAAAGCUAAGAUUUUUUUAUAGGACGAGAAGACCCUAUAGAACUUUAUUUUCUANAUAUAUAUAUUUUAUAGAUUUUUAAAAUAUUAUAUAUUANUAGUUAAUUUAAUUGGGGUGAUUGAAAAAAUUAUAUAACUUUUUCUAUUUUUAUCAUUUAUUUAUGAUGUUUUUUGAUCCUUUAAUAUGGAAAAUAAGAUUAAGUUACCUUAGGGAUAACAGCGUUAUUUUUUU